rnacentral:rRNA from 1 species
AGUGAACGCUGGCGGUAGGCCUAACACAUGCAAGUCGAACGGCAGCACAGUAAGAGCUUGCUCUUACGGGUGGCGAGUGGCGGACGGGUGAGGAAUACAUCGGAAUCUACUUUUUCGUGGGGGAUAACGUAGGGAAACUUACGCUAAUACCGCAUACGACCUACGGGUGAAAGCAGGGGAUCUUCGGACCUUGCGCGAUUGAAUGAGCCGAUGUCGGAUUAGCUAGUUGGCGGGGUAAAGGCCCACCAAGGCGACGAUCCGUAGCUGGUCUGAGAGGAUGAUCGGCCGCACUGGAACGGAGACACGGUCCAGACUCCUACGGGAGGCAGCAGUGGGGAAUAUUGGACAAUGGGCGCAAGCCUGAUCCAGCCAUACCGCGUGGGUGAAGAAGGCCUUCGGGUUGUAAAGCCCUUUUGUUGGGAAAGAAAAGCAGCAGGUUAAUACCCCGCUGUUCUGACGGUACCCAAAGAAUAAGCACCGGCUAACUUCGUG